UAAAAGCUGAAAAUUGGUCUGGGCAAAAAGGGGGUGAAAGUGCCCUGUAUUGAAGUGUACCUCUGUCACUAUUUAUUUUAGAAUAUUUCUCUUUUAUUCCUGUUCUGAUGACAGUUCAAAGUUUGGGAUUGCCUAAUACUUUCAUUCCAAAGGUCAAAGACAGCAAUGAAAACUGGACAGUCUUAACCCCUCACUAAAAAAAAGUUUUGGCUUUAGAUACACAAAGAAUAGCACCAAUACAAUUUUAAUGCAGCAACUAAAGCAGCCGGUGAGUCAUUGACAUUUUAUCAUUGGCUGCAUUUUGAGAGUUGAUUCCUGAUUGGUGGAUAUAGAUCACUAGUGGUGCAUCUGCACUUUUAAGUCAGUAAAGUUAAGAUAAAUAGUAGCAAAAUAAUUUACAUAAUAUUUUUUAUUUUACAUGCAUUCAUCUUUCUUGCAAUGACCCGCUGAGGAAGUUGUAACAACGCAACGCGUCCGUGGGAUAGGAGCCUAAAUCGAUGUUGCUCGCUGCCGGUCUGAAGAGCCUAUCAUUCGUUCGUAUGAUCGUUUCACCGCCUGAUUCGAUGCCCUGGUUGUAUUGUUAUGCCUAAUGAUAUUUGGCUAAAUGUUUCAGCUACUGUCUGAAUCCCUUGCAUACAGCCAAAAGCAGGAAGAUAACCCAUAGGAUCCCAUGGGCAUUCCUGGAUGUAUGGCACUCCUGAAGAUAAAGAUCGUGGACUUUUUGUGCUAACAAAUCAGAGAUCGAUGCGGCUUUGUACCCACACCAUCUCAUCUCCCAAGGGCUGCAUUGUGGUCACUUGACCUGGUUUUUGGCUGCUCCCAUCGUCCAGUCUGGGUCUAUCCCGCCUCAGCUCCAGGCCUGACAUUGUGUUGGGGAUGCCUUCUCUCACUACCAUGGGGCCCCCCAUUCAUGCAUGACCUGAUAAACCAUUCUCGUACAGAACUUGUAGUCCCGCAUCCAUACUUCUGUGAGUGAACACAUUUCAGGAAACGUGUAGAGUAUACAAUAUUGGGAUGCCAAGACAGUUCAGCUCAUACUUCAAAUAUUCAACAAUCUAAUAUGUGUAUAUGAUCAUGCUAUGUCAGUUUAUUUGUACAUUUGGUAAAUGUGUAGUUAUUUAUUACCGUCUUAUUGUAUAUGUUUGUAUUUACAUUUGUAAACCAUGUCAUGCAGCUCCAGACCCAAGGAGCUGCAUUAGACAGAAUAAAGGUUUUAUUAUA